rnacentral:misc_RNA from 1 species
GAUGAAGAACGUAGCGAAAUGCGAUAAGUAGUGUGAAUUGCAGAAUUCAGUGAAUCAUCGAAUCUUUGAACGCACAUUGCGCCCCUUGGUAUUCCAUGGGGCAUGCCUGUUCGAGCGUCAUUUGUACCUUCAAGCUCUGCUUGGUGUUGGGUGUUUGUCUCGCCUCUGCGUGUAGACUCGCCUCAAAACAAUUGGCAGCCGGCGUAUUGAUUUCGGAGCGCAGUACAUCUCGCGCUUUGCACUCAUAACGACGACGUCCAAAAGGACAUUUUUACACUCAUGACCUCGGAUCAGGUAGGGAUACCCGCUGAACUUAAGCAUAUCAAUAAGCGGAGGA